UAUCCUGGCUCAGGAUGAACGCUGGCGGCGUGCUUAACACAUGCAAGUCGAACGGAGUCAUCAUUUUUGAAGCAAUUAGCUUGCUAAGAGUGGAAAUGUUGAUGACUUAGUGGCGGACGGGUGAGUAACGCGUGGGUAACCUGCCAUAUACAGGGGGAUAACACUUAGAAAUAGGUGCUAAUACCGCAUAAGCGCACAGUUUUGCAUGAGACAGUGUGAAAAACUACGGUGGUAUAUGAUGGACCCGCGUCUGAUUAGCUGGUUGGUGGGGUAACGGCCCACCAAGGCGACGAUCAGUAGCCGGCCUGAGAGGGUGGACGGCCACAUUGGGACUGAGACACGGCCCAAACUCCUACGGGAGGCAGCAGUGGGGAAUAUUGGACAAUGGGGGAAACCCUGAUCCAGCGACGCCGCGUGAGUGAAGAAGUAUUUCGGUAUGUAAAGCUCUAUCAGCAGGGAAGAAAAAAAUGACGGUACCUGACUAAGAAGCCCCGGCUAACUACGUG
rnacentral:rRNA from 1 species